rnacentral:rRNA from 1 species
UACGGGGGGGGGCAAGCGUUGUUCGGAAUUACUGGGCGUAAAGGGCUCGUAGGUGGCCAACUAAGUCAGACGUGAAAUCCCUCGGCUUAACCGGGGAACUGCGUCUGAUACUGGAUGGCUUGAGUUUGGGAGAGGGACGCGGAAUUCCAGGUGUAGCGGUGAAAUGCGUAGAUAUCUGGAGGAACACCGGUGGCGAAGGCGGCAUCCUGGACCACGACUGACGCUGAGUGAGCGAAAGCCAGGGGAGCAAACGGG